rnacentral:tRNA from 2 species
CGGGGCGUAGCUCAGCCUGGUAGAGCGCUACGCUGGGGGUGUAGAAGUCGCAGGUUCGAAUCCUGUCGCCCCGACCA